rnacentral:rRNA from 1 species
GAUGAACGCUGGCGGCGUGCCUAAUACAUGCAAGUCGAGCGAACAGACGAGGAGCUUGCUCCUCUGACGUUAGCGGCGGACGGGUGAGUAACACGUGGAUAACCUACCUAUAAGACUGGGAUAACUUCGGGAAACCGGAGCUAAUACCGGAUAAUAUAUUGAACCGCAUGGUUCAAUAGUGAAAGACGGUUUUGCUGUCACUUAUAGAUGGAUCCGCGCCGCAUUAGCUAGUUGGUAAGGUAACGGCUUACCAAGGCAACGAUGCGUAGCCGACCUGAGAGGGAGAGGGGGAACGAUGGAGCAGGGAGGCGGUCGGGGCGCCAACGGGAGGUAGCAGCAGGGGGUGAACCAAAAUGGGCGGAAGCCAGAAGGGGCAACGCAGGAGGAGUGAUAAAGGUCUAAGGAACAAAAGACGCUGUUAUUGGGAAAGAACAAAAGUGUAAGUAAUUAUGCCCGGCUUGCCGGGACGUAAUCAGAAAGAAAGGGCUAGGCACGUG